GAGGAUCAUUACUAGAGCAAAGGAUAGACAGCGCCCGCGGAGCUCGCUCCCGGGGCUACCCUACUCCCGUAGGGUUUAGAGUCGUCGGGCCUCUCGGAGAAGCUCGGUCCUGAACUCCACCCUUGAAUAAACUACCUUUGUUGCUUUGGCGGGCCGCCUCGUGCCAGCGGCUUCGGCUGUUGAGUGCCCGCCAGAGGACCCCAACUCUUGUUUUUAGUGAUGUCUGAGUACUAUAUAAUAGUUAAAACUUUCAACAACGGAUCUCUUGGUUCUGGCAUCGAUGAAGAACGCAGCGAAAUGCGAUAAGUAAUGUGAAUUGCAGAAUUCAGUGAAUCAUCGAAUCUUUGAACGCACAUUGCGCCCUCUGGUAUUCCGGGGGGCAUGCCUGUUCGAGCGUCAUUAUAACCACUCAAGCUCUCGCUUGGUAUUGGGGUUCGCGGUUUCGCGGCCCCUAAAAUCAGUGGCGGUGCCUGUCGGCUCUACGCGUAGUAAUACUCCUCGCGAUUGAGUCCGGUAGGUCUACUUGCCAGCAACCCCUAAUUUUUUUAAGGUUGACCUCGGAUCAGGUAGGGAUACCCGCUGAACUUAAGCAUAUCAAUAAGCGGAGGAAAAGAAACCAACAGGGAUUACCUCAGUAACGGCGAGUGAAGCGGUAACAGCUCAAAUUUGAAAGCUGGCUCUUUUAGGGUCCGCGUUGUAAUUUGUAGAAGAUGCUUCGGGUGUGGCCCCGGUCUAAGUUCCUUGGAACAGGACGUCAUAGAGGGUGAGAAUCCCGUAUGUGACUGGGUGCUUUCGCCCAUGUGAAGCUCUUUCGACGAGUCGAGUUGUUUGGGAAUGCAGCUCAAAAUGGGUGGUAAAUUUCAUCUAAAGCUAAAUAUUG
rnacentral:rRNA from 1 species